AACGAACGCUGGCGGCGUGGAUAAGACAUGCAAGUCGAACGGGACUAAAUCUGUAGCAAUACAGGUUUAGUUUAGUGGCGAACGGGUGCGUAACACGUGGGCAAUCUGCCGAGAAGUGGGGGAUAGCUCGCCGAAAGGCGAAUUAAUACCGCAUAUGAUCAGUGAAGACAUCUUCACGACAUCAAAGCCGGGGCAACCUGGCGCUUCUUGAUGAGCCCACGGCCUAUCAGCUAGUUGGUGAGGUAACGGCUCACCAAGGCUAUGACGGGUAGCUGGUCUGAGAGGACGACCAGUCACACUGGAACUGAGACACGGUCCAGACACCUACGGGUGCAGCAGUCGAGUAAUUUUUCUCAAGUGGGGCAACCCUGAAGGAGCGACGCCGCGUGGAGGA
rnacentral:rRNA from 1 species